rnacentral:misc_RNA from 1 species
UGGACCUAAAAGGUGGCAGUUGCCAGAUACAGAAAACUCUGUACAAGCCUCAACGGCAAAUGACUUGCGUCGCGAUAAAUACACACCGAUUAAUCCUGAAAAACUUAAAGCUGCAGCUGUGGGGAUGUCUCAAAUUGCAAAGGCAUUUGCUAUUGCCACUGCUCUUGUCUUAGGUGGUUCCGCCUUGACGUUUGGCUUGGCAGCAUCCAAGCUAGAGUUGCACAAUCCUGAUGAUAUCCGGACGAAAGGGAAGGACAUGGUUCAGCCAAGAUUGGAAACAUUCAAAGAACAGCUGAAUCCUUUAAGGAUUUGGGCUGAAGAGAAGUCGAAAAAAUGGCAUUUGGAGAAAAAAGAACACAUUAAAGAGAAGCCUUUGAUAAAAGAGCUCUCUAAAAUAUUAGGUGCCAAGUCGUCAAACUAAUGUCGAUGCAGUUUAUUGCAGAUAGCUAUGCAUUCAUCAGAAUAUUUUGUUUUCUUCUCUCUCACUGUGUAAUUUUGAAUAAUAUGAUCUGUCAGCAGUUAGUAUUUUCUAUGUGUCCUGCAGUACUACAUUUUCUCUGUAAAUUGCUGUGUUUUCUAUGACGAAUAAAAA